rnacentral:rRNA from 1 species
GACGAACGCUGGCGGCGUGCCUAAUACAUGCAAGUAGAACGCUGAAGAGAGGAGCUUGCUCUUCUUGGAUGAGUUGCGAACGGGUGAGUAACGCGUAGGUAACCUGCCUUGUAGCGGGGGAUAACUAUUGGAAACGAUAGCUAAUACCGCAUAACAAUAGGUGACACAUGUCAUUUAUUUGAAAGGGGCAAUUGCUCCACUACAAGAUGGACCUGCGUUGUAUUAGCUAGUAGGUGAGGUAACGGCUCACCUAGGCGACGAUACAUAGCCGACCUGAGAGGGUGAUCGGCCACACUGGGACUGAGACACGGCCCAGACUCCUACGGGAGGCAGCAGUAGGGAAUCUUCGGCAAUGGGGGCAACCCUGACCGAGCAACGCCGCGUGAGUGAAGAAGGUUUUCGGAUCGUAAAGCUCUGUUGUAAGUCAAGAACGAGUGUGAGAGUGGAAAGUUCACACUGUGACGGUAGCUUACCAGAAAGGGACGGCUAACUACGUGCCAGCAGCCGCGGUAAUACGUAGGUCCCGAGCGUUGUCCGGAUUUAUUGGGCGUAAAGCGAGCGCAGGCGGUUUGAUAAGUCUGAAGUUAAAGGCUGUGGCUCAACCAUAGUUCGCUUUGGAAACUGUCAAACUUGAGUGCAGAAGGGGAGAGUGGAAUUCCAUGUGUAGCGGUGAAAUGCGUAGAUAUAUGGAGGAACACCGGUGGCGAAAGUGGCUCUCUGGUCUGUAACUGACGCUGAGGCUCGAAAGCGUGGGGAGCGAACAGG